GACGAACGCUGGCGGCGUGCUUAACACAUGCAAGUCGAACGGAAAGGCCCUGCUUUUGUGGGGUGCUCGAGUGGCGAACGGGUGAGUAACACGUGAGUAACCUGCCCUUGACUUUGGGAUAACUUCAGGAAACUGGGGCUAAUACCGGAUAGGAGCUCCUGCUGCAUGGUGGGGGUUGGAAAGUUUCGGCGGUUGGGGAUGGACUCGCGGCUUAUCAGCUGGUUGGUGGGGUAGUGGCUUACCAAGCCUUUGACGGGUAGCCGGCCUGAGAGGGUGACCGGGCACAUUGGGACUGAGAUACGGACCAGACGCCUAUGGGAGGCAGCAGUGGGGAAUAUUGCACAAUGGGCGGAAGCCUGAGGCAGCAACGCCGCGUGCGGGAUGACGGCCUUCGGGUUGUAAACCGCUUUCGCCUGUGACGAAGCGUGAGUGACGGUAAUGGGUAAAGAAGCACCGGCUAACUACGUG
rnacentral:rRNA from 1 species